CCUACGGGGUGCAGCAGUGGGGAAUAUUGGACAAUGGGCGAAAGCCUGAUCCAGUCAUGCCGCGUGUGUGAAGAAGGCCUUCGGGUUGUAAAGCACUUUCAGUGGGGAAGAAAGCCUUGGGGCUAAUACCCUCGAGGAAGGACAUCACCCACAGAAGAAGCACCGGCUAACUCCGUGCCAGCAGCCGCGGUAAUACGGAGGGUGCGAGCGUUAAUCGGAAUUACUGGGCGUAAAGCGCGCGUAGGCGGUCUGAUAAGCCGGUUGUGAAAGCCCCGGGCUCAACCUGGGAACGGCAUCCGGAACUGUCAGGCUAGAGUGCAGGAGAGGAAGGUAGAAUUCCCGGUGUAGCGGUGAAAUGCGUAGAGAUCGGGAGGAAUACCAGUGGCGAAGGCGGCCUUCUGGACUGACACUGACGCUGAGGUGCGAAAGCGUGGGUAGCAAACAGGAUUAGAUACCCUUGUAGUC
rnacentral:rRNA from 1 species